GGAAAAGGGGUUGCCGUGGGCAACGCUAAGGCUAUGACUGCGUAGAACACGUGAUCACUACGGCACAAUGGCGGGGAAAUUGGAUCCGCGGGAGGUACAAAGUAUUCAGGAAAGACUGAGCGGGAUUAUUCAGAGUCUGGAUGCUUCUGUGAAGUCUCUCGAUGAAUGUCAGAAAAAGCUGGACAAAUCCUUACAAUGUCAGGAUCAUUUGAAUCAUUGUUUAAAGCCCAUCCAAACUGGAUUUGUCCCAAAUAAAAAUGAAAAAGGCAGUUCGGAUGCCGCAAGGAUUUAAGUUUUCGUCAAGGGAAAGAGGGAAUAACAAAGUAUUUUCAGACUCUAUGAAUAAAAUUCUGUUUACCAUU